rnacentral:rRNA from 1 species
GACGGGGGCCCGCACAAGCAGUGGAGUAUGUGGUUUAAUUCGAAGCAACGCGAAGAACCUUACCAGGUCUUGACAUCCAACUAACGAGGUAGAGAUACAUUAGGUGCCCUACGGGGAAAGUUGAGACAGGUGGUGCAUGGUUGUCGUCAGCUCGUGUCGUGAGAUGUUGGGUUACGUCCCGCAACGAGCGCAACCCUUGUCCAUAGUUGCUACGCAAGAGCACUCUAUGGAGACUGCCGUUGACAAAACGGAGGAAGGUGGGGAUGACGUCAAAUCAUCAUGCCCCUUAUGACCUGGGCUACACACGUACUACAAUGGCCGUAAACAGAGGGAAGCGAGACAGUGAUGUGGAGCAAACCCCCAAAAACGGUCCCAGUUCAGAUUGUAGGCUGCAACUCGCCUACAUGAAGAUGGAAUUGCUAGUAAUCGCGAAUCAGCAUGUCGCGGUGAAUACGUUCCCGGGCCUUGUACACACCGCCCGUCACACCAUGGGAGCCGGUAAUACCCGAAAUCAGUGUUCUAGCUGAAGUAAUUUGGAGGAAGCUGCCGAAGGUAGGAUUGGCGACUGGGGUGAAGUCGUAACAAGGUAGCCGUAUCGAAA